GUGUGCUUGCCGCCCCUGCCCGCCCGCGGGCCCUGAGGGAGGGUACGGGAGGGGAGAGCAGCUCCGUCCGGUCCCACCAGCCCGCAUAGCUACCACCAGCAGCGCCCGCGCCGCCCAGUCCCCUGCCUCGCCGCGGCCGAUGCCGGGAGGCGGUGAGGGGCUCCCCGCAGGCCGCAGCGGGUACCUGGGGUGGCAGACGCUGCCGCGCUACGGCCCCAGACACAGCGCGGAGGGGAGCGGAGCUCGGCAGCUGCUCCCGUGCGUUCACGGUCAAAUUUGGUUUCCCGUUACGAGUCUCUCACACGAGCGCAGCCUGUGAAGCUUAUAAACAUGUCGGUAAUGUUCGUCAGAAAAUGGAUUGGAUUUUGUACCGAUAAAGCAAUGUUAAACUUAACUGAGAUUUAAUAGUAAAUUGAAAGCACUAGCUGCAGAGCUUGAUCGUCUUCAUUCAAACAGAAAUAUGACUUUUACAAGAAGAGUCAAACAACCGUUUGAAGACAAAGAAUUCUUUAAUGUUAAGGGGAAAUAACUAUUUGACUAGCUGUGUGCGACAAUGGAGUCACAUGUUGAACAACCUGAACUUAUUUUUGAAGAUGAAGAAUCUAUAUUUUGACAGUUGCAAACACAGUUGUAGCAGUAGACACAAUUACAACCUUUUCUGCAUGUUGCCCUCACUCACUACAUGGGGUACCACCACCUUAAAGAAAACGCAGCCUUAUUUUAGUCACAACCUGAUGGAUUCCCAAUGCAAAAAAGUGCCUUUUGACUUAAGAUUUGUAUUUCACACAUGAAAGCAUUCUUAACCCUCACUGUCUAAUUUAAAGAUGGAGUACAUUUGUCUAAGGUUCCACGUUAAGGCACAAUUUAUGCACAACAAAUUGAUGCAGUUAUACUACGUAAUUUAAACUGUUAAAAAUCUGCUGCUAAAAAUCCUUAGGAUGCAGCAAAAUAUUUUGAAUAUAGUAGAGUGGCAGCUGAGUCAAUCCUUCAGAUCCCAAUCAUCAGCCAUGGGGCUGCAUUUGUGGCUCUUACCAUUGCUCUCCAAGUCUGUAUUAACAAUUUCUGCAUACAAGGUUGUACAAUUUAUGUGCUAAAAGAUAACUAGUCUUUCAUUCGACAGAAGCAACACAUCAGAUACUGCCUGCUGGAAAAUUAUUUCAAAAACUAUGAAUUUUUAUUUCAGAAAUCAAACUUUCAUUCCCCAACUUCCCAGUGUUAAUGAAAGGAAAACAUUUUCCAAACAACACCUGCAAGAAGUAAAACAUUCUGUUCCAGCAUCCAAGCAUAUACAGAAAUGUUUUUGUAUAGGUUGCAAAACAACUAAGCUUGUUUUGCCCUGCCCAGUAUGUUCAGAAACCAGAAACCAGAAAUAAUAGCCUAGGACAUCAACAGAAUGAAUUCUUAACUUUUUUUUUUAAGGGGGGGGGGGGGGGAAAUCAAAAUGAUUUUUUAAAUUUCUAAUCUCCUUUCCACCUUUCCAGCAUGGUGGCAUUGUUAUAUCCAGUUAAAUGAGGGCAUUACUUACCUAUAUAUUGAAGAUUUUCUUUACCACAGUUUCUCUAGAAAUGGUUCUGCCAGUUUUCAAUUUCUACUUCUUUCAAUUUUAUGUAUCUAGCAGGAUUUCAAAAAUUAUUUUAAAGCAGCAAAAAAUCUAACAACAGACAAAGCAGAUUUCUGCUUAUGUGCCAUCAAUUAAGCUAAGAAAGAAUAGUAUAACCAAGGCAUCUUUUCUACAGGCAAUUCUGAUUAUAAGAUGUAAUAAUAAGAAUAAUUAUUAAUAAGAAUAAGAUUUGUCUUAUGAUUAAAUUCCAUACUACACACAGCUUUAAAAUUUAAAUAUUCUUAGUAUUCUAUUGCCAAAAUUUUCUUUCCUUUUGAGCAGAGCUUUAAUAAAUAAAAAUAUAUGCAGACGUA